GGCAGAAGUUCUGGCGGCGGCGCUCGCGGCCCUGCGCGCCGGAGGGGGCGCCCGGAGUCCAGCGGGCCAAGAAGGGCAGGGCGCCCGCUCCUCGCCCCCCGCCGCGCCGCGGCCCCAGGGGACCGCAAGGGGACAGUGAGGGGCCGGGCCUGGCACCGACGCAAGCUCGGGGAGCGCGGGUGGUGGGAGGCGGCGCGUGUUGAACAGGAAGUGCGCGGCGUGCAGCGCCACCGUCCCGCUCCCCGUCGCCCCACGCCGCCCUCGUCGCCGCGCCCAGACCCCUGCGGCGGCCGCAGCCGCUUGGGACUCGCUGCGAGCUGGUUUCGGAUCCAUCCCGCCUCCCGGCGUCUCACUGUGUGCCCUACCCUUUGAAACACGCCCCCGCGCCCGCCCUGCCGUAGACCAGGCAGCGAGGAAGCCCACAGUCUCCGGGGGCGCUGCGCGCGAAGUAGCACGUGCUUCUCGAAACACCGCAGCCCCCGGGUCCCGCCCCGCCCGGCGCGCGCACUCGAACCCGCCCAGAGAGCGGUGCGUGGCGCUGGGUGCGAGCAGGGUCUAGCCACCCCCACCCUCACCCCACCCCACCCCACCCUGCUUUUUUCAGGUUCAUCAAGGUUUGCGCAGUGGAUCCGCGGUAAGUGCGUGUCCCCACGCCGCGGGAAACGUGGGGCUCCUGAGACUGCGGAAAGAAUUGGGAGAAGGGGAGGGCUCGAAGACCCGGGCGAGGGUUCCCGGUGCGGCCCAGGUCCUUUAGAGCCCCGGGUGGGCAUCCAGUACCGCCUGCUGCCGAGGGCCCUAGAGGGGUUGGGGGAGGGGGCUGGUGUGUCCCCCACCCCCAGAUGCGCCCCAGGAUGGCGCGACCUCGGCUCCCUGGUGGAAAGUAGGGGGAGUGCUGGCUUGGGGGUCGCUUCCCCUCCUGCUCUAGUUUCUGAGGAUGUGAUGACCCCAAAGGUCAUUGGCGCUCCCAGAAUGCUGACGUCAGCUCAGCCGCUCCGAGUAAUCAGUAAUGCAGGGAGGCCACCCGCAGAAAGAACGCGACAGGGGUCGCUUUGGGGACACCAUAGGGCCUUUACUCCUUUUGAGGUGCGUGCUUUCGCAGGACUCCCUCCCCAGAGGAGGAGGCAUGAUCAGCCCACCCAAAGGAUCAUCUCUUAGGAAGCAGGCGUGCGCCCACGCAGGGAGAAGCAUCCUUCCUUUCAGCUGCUUGCCGGGUGGCUUUUCCAACCCGAGUUCCAGCAGCUUGCACAAAAUCCUUACAGCUUGGGUGGUUCCCUGGCUCAUAGGGGUGGGUUUAUAUUCUUUCUCCUUCUCCUCUGCUCUCUGGUCCAGAAUGAAGCCAGCCUGGAAGAUCCCCAGUCUCGAGACAGAGCCUGACAGGGGCAGAUGCACUGGAAGGACCCUGUCUGGGUUUAGCAACCAAGCAGCCAUCCUGGCCCCACAGGUGUGGGACUUCUGGGUCUUCUCCUGGCUGGCUUCUUGCUAGAGGAUUUCAAGAGACCCAGCAAGACUGUAUUGUCCCACUGAAUGCUCAAGAUAUUGGUUAGAAGUAGAAAAGGGGAGGGGGUAGUAUUUAGCCUCUGUCCCCACUAAAAAUUAUUCCCAAUUGUCAUUUGUGUCAUCUGUUUAGCUUACAGUUUUAAUCCUUGUCAAAAUGAUCAUUUGCCAGGGUGCAUAAAACACCCUAUUUGAUGAGAACUGGUUUUAAAGGAAAAUGGGGCCAUCAGAAGGAAGCCGGUUGGUGUGAAGAGACGUCUGGGAAGAGCCCCUGGCGAGGGCCCUCAUUCCACUGGGUGACCCAGAAGGAGAAAACCGCGAUGGCGCUUCUCAUUUGAAAUGUUUUCUUUAUGGACAGUGUUUAGCAAUUGUUAUAAUGUGUACUUUUGUUGAUUGAUCUGUAUACAUAUGUAAAAUAAUUUGUUCUCUGAGUUAAUUUUGUUGGAACAAAGACUUUAGUGCUUCCUACAUUAAAACAUUUUACUGUAUUGCCUGCAUUUUAAGAGCCUUUUUUUAAUUUUUAAUUUUUUUGGUCCUUGUGAUAUGACGAGGUAUAAAUUCUGGGUUUUGUCCAGGGUUCCUGGCUUAGCACUCUCGUCGCCCUCAUCACAGUCUCUUGUUAUAAUGUUGGGGCGCUUUAGGCCUCAGACACCCCAGGAAACAAUCUCCUCUGAACUUCCCCUGCCCUCCUUCACCACCUCACCAGCCCAAGGCAGGACUCUAA
rnacentral:lncRNA from 1 species